rnacentral:rRNA from 1 species
GACGUAGGGCGCGAGCGUUGUCCGGAUUUAUUGGGCGUAAAGAGCUUGUAGGCGGUUUGUCGCGUCUGCUGUGAAAAUCCGGGGCUCAACCCCGGACUUGCAGUGGGUACGGGCAGACUAGAGUGUGGUAGGGGAGACUGGAAUUCCUGGUGUAGCGGUGAAAUGCGUAGAUAUCUGGAGGAACACCGGUGGCGAAGGCGGCAUCCUGGACCAAUAUUGACGCUGAGGAGCGAAAGCCAGGGGAGCAAACGGG